rnacentral:lncRNA from 1 species
UUUUUGUCUUUGCUAGGGCCGCUCCCAUGGCAUAUGGAGGUUCCCAGGCUAAGGGUCUAAUCGGAGCUGUAGCCACUAGCCUAUGCCAAAGCCACAGCAACUUGGGAUCCGAGCCAUAUCUGCAACCUAGACCACAGCAAGGCCAGGGAUUGUACCUGCAACGUCAUGGUUCCUAGUCAGAUUCGUUAACCACUAUACCACGACGGGAACUCCAUAAACUUUUUUCUAAUUAAAGCAAAGAGGCGGGUAAUUUGGGACAUUUUGGUGAGGUUACAGGACAUUUAUAAAGAUCCUCAUGCAACUGCAUGAUUGUUGGGCUGAAAAUCCCAAACUCUUUCAUGAGUUAAAGAGUUAAUACUUAAUUGGAAAAUUGUAAAAAGCUGAAAUGUAUGUGUUGUGCUUUUUGCAAAAAGUUUCUUUUUUCAAGCAGGUAGCAUAUUAUAAGUGUUAAUCCUUAUUCUUUAUCUCUGCAGCCUUCAGGUCCAGGAUCAAUACUGAAAAAUUAACUAGUUCUCUGCUUUCAAUCCAUUUUGUGUGCCUCACCAAAUUGCCACUCUGCUUUGCAUGAUUUAACACAAUUGUCUGCCUUUGCCCCAGAGGCUGAAUGCUUAGCCUGCAAGGAACCACAAAUGGAAGGAAAGCUUGGCCAGCAUCUGCCCACACUUCGUCUGGUUUAAGGCAGUAUUUCCAUCUCUUUUUCUAUCUUAAACUUGUAAAUAAAUAACAGUUUCGCAUAAUUAAUUUUCAGAAAAAAAGGAUUUUGGUAAAUCACCACUAUUAUUUAAUAUUAGCCAAUAGCUUACAAAUUACCACGGUUAAAACAUAUAAGUUUUACUCUUGAUAUCACUUUCAGGUAAUAAAAUAGCCACUGGUAGACUUCAGAAGCCUGAACCCAAUACAGGAAGAGUUUUCUUUCCUUAUGUUAUACUGAAUAGGCAAAACUCCAUUAAAAAUAAUUGAUUUUCAUGCUUUAAUAGAGGUGAGAAUAGUUAGGUAAGAACUUUCUUUCACUAAUUUCUUUUUCUCUCUGAUCUACUGGCACUUAUAUACAUAGCUAUGACCAGAAUGCUACAGGUUAUAAAUCUUUUAUAUCAAAUCUAUUUUAUAUUUAUUAUGGCAUUGGCCUUUAGAGAUAAGCUUAGUCUAAUUGCCUGAACUUACUAGCAAGAGAAAUAAUAUCCUUAGAACAUAAAGAGCAUUCCCUAGGUCAUGAAGCAGGUGGCAGAGCUGGGCCCAGCACUCCUGUCUCCUGACCCUUAGUCCAGGGAUCUCCUCUCGCUCCAGGCCACUCCCUUAGCAAGUGAAUAACUGAGAGGGAAUUUGUUAAGACGUGCUCAAGAUUGGAAUAAAAUGGCACCACUGAAUUUUCUAGAAAGGUGAACAACCCAGGGAAAGUGCCCUAUGAGUGGGCAUGAGCCCUACAGGGGAAUAGGAACAUAACAGCUGCUAAGGUGAUGGAUAGGAGCAGAUAUGCGCUCUUAUCUAGUGACAGAAUUAUGACCAAGUAAAGUUUCUCCAGUCCUCAUACUGUCCCCCUCAGUGGGACAAGCCAGGGCUAGUCAGAGCAAUGGGACAUGGAACAUGAGGGAGCAGUGGUUAAGCCACUGCUAACGCAGUAACCCCUGAGUUCAGCAAGAUCUGGGUUUGGUCUAUGAGAGGAAGGACCAACUUUGACCCCACCUGUGGCCAAGAUGUUAAGCAUUCUCCCCAUUCAGCCAGGAGCCUUCAGUACCUGGAUCUGAAGGGAGAGACACAUCCUCCGGCCAGACUCACCAGUGUCCACACUGCCCCAUGACCACGUAUCCUCUGGAACUGGGAGAAAGCUCAGAGGAAACAAGACCUUGACAAAAGGGGGAGGAGAGGAAACUACACUCAGCAGUUAACCCCCAAAUAAUACUACCCACUCUGAUCCAAGCUCAAGCUUUUAAGAGGGACUUAGAAAUGCCCUUCAUGGGAGGCUCACACAGGGCUUAGUCCAUUUGUUUUUAAACCACCAGGUUAUUCUUAGGCACAGUGUUUCAUAAGGUCCCCAAGAUAAGCCAGUGUUUGGAAGGCUAAAAAGGUGAGACACCCAAGCUCAGUAACAGGACUGGUGGAAAAAAUUAGGUCACUCAUUGUUCUAAGGCCUCAGAGGGCCCCCUUUCUAAACGAUUUUGCUUUUUGAGCUUUAGACAAUGGCUAGGGGCAUGGGGUGGGAGGAGGAAACUCAAACUAUGAAACAAUGUGGAAAACAGACGUGGUGUGAAUCAUCAUCAAAAGAUCUUUUUGAUCUAAGUAGAGUUGUAAAUCAGUAGAAUUUCUGGUAGAUUAUAGACACAGAUUAUUCUUGGCAUUUGAAAUUUCUUUCCCUCUUCUCCUUUCUCUCCCCCAAAUAGCCUCUGCUCACUGAAAAAAACAAAUCCAAAGUGCCAAAUAAAUCUUCGCUCUGAGUACAAAACUCCAAUGUGCAGGCACUCUGUCACUGCUUGUUAUUACACAAUUUCUGUUUCCAAAAUGUAAUUUUCCCCUCUUUUCCUUUUAGACUUCUCCCACCUUUUGUACGUCCGAUCACUUGUUUCUCAAAACAUACCUAUUAGGCAGGUCAGGGAGAGUUUUGUCUGCACAUUCCGCUGGAACCCAGAAAGUGAGGUUCCAUGGCAAGAUCAAGGACACAGAGCCAGCCAGGAAGACAGCAAGAUCCUGCAAGAGCCUGCAGCCAGCAAAAGCUUGGAGCCCUCCCACCCAGGGUUCUGCAUGCCUCAUUAUUAAACGGCCUCUUGAAAACACUUGCUGAAACUGGAGUUCCUCCAGCUUUGACUGUCACCGUUAAAAUUAUUAAUGUUCCAAGAAUCCAGAAGCCCAACUAGAGUUUUCUUGAAAUACCUCACCAUGACUGAGGCACACUCAGUGUGAAGUGCCAUUAAACUCACUGCCCAUGAACCAAACAAGACAAGAGAGCUACAGAAUCUUACUUGUGAAACUAAAGGGAAAUUCAAAGACAUUUUCAUUAGCCUGAGCUUUUCACCCACUUUACAGUCGCUCCUCUGUUAAUGGAGGAGACCCCAUUCCAGUACCACUCUGGUCUCAGCAUCAUAAGUUCCAGAGGGAGAAAUUAUAUCUGAAAUGUUAAGAUGUGUUUAGGUGCUGGCUUUUUUAGGAGGGUGUUGGUGAUCAAUCCUCUAUCUCACCAGCCCCUUGCAAUCUAGGUUUUGCAAUUACUCCUUUCACGGUAGGAUGGGAGCCCAAUGGGAACUACCAAGGGCUGGAUUCAGAAGUAUCAUUCUGUUCCCAUGAAGCUGAGCUCUGUGGGUUCCAAGUGUAACCCUACCCUCAGGUAGCUCAGAAGCUAGGAUCACCUCCAAUAACAUUGUCAGCUGUUGGUCUUCCUGACCAUGACCCUGAGCUGUAAGGAUCAGAGCUGCUGCAUGAACUUCAUUAGUGUAUUCCCCUGCCCACCCAGGCUUCCUAUUGAACAUAUCUAUCAAUACAGGGACUCUAAAUGGGAUUUAGAACACAAAUCUGGUGCUCCAAACCAACAUUUGGACUGUUUACUAUGAGAAACUUGGGGCUAUAACUUUAAAUUCUAACGAAUCAUUCAUCCUGAGAUGUUUGAUACCAAAGCAAGAAGUCCUCAAAGGUUGAUCCUGGAUGCCAUCAGCCUGAAUCUCUCUGACAACAGCACACAGGGAAAAACACCUGCUUUCUAAUCUCAUUUCCAUCCGUAACUAGUCAUCUGACCAAGUCACAGGAUCUCACUCAGCCUUCUCAGUUUCCUUAGCCAGGGAAAAACAAUACUUCACACUUUAACUUCAAAUAUUUCAACGAUGACGUUAGGAAACACAGACAAAGACACAAGGUAAAAUGCAAUGCACUGUGUUCAAGAGGGAGAUGUCUGGUAUUUCCUUGUUCACUUGUGCUAGCAUCCCUGCCAUGUGAAAACUUAAAAGACCCUGGUCAGCCAGAGCCAAUGUCAACCAGAUUUUAAUCAUCACCACUGCAGCCUAGGAGCUGUCUGUUAAUAUUCUCUGAAGCCUUGGUGUAUUUCUUCACUUUCCAAUAACAAUAAUACAUUUGCAUAUGUCUUCAUGGGGUGUGUGUGUGUGUGUGUGCGUGCAUGCGUGCGUGCGUGCGUGUGUUCUUAUCUAAACAUUUCAGUGACACAGGAACCAGCCUUCAAGGAAUUUUUUAAAUGUGUUUCCUGUUAAGGACAUCUUUUUCUCAGACCUUCUCUCCAGCGUCUACUUAAAUCAAAGGCUGCUCUGCAGCCUGUGUGUAGCCUGAGCUUUUAUUUAACCCUAUCUUGCGAUGUUAAGGGACACAAAUGAAAAGGAAGUGUUGAGAUGGCAACUGUUUGGAAAGCAGCCUGGAGGUGCAACAGAGACCUCUGUUACUCAGCUUGAAAAUGGCCAUGGCCUCCAUACAUUAAAAAAUAAAACGAAUAAAAAAAAAAAAGUCUACAGAUUUUUCCACAAGUAAUUUCAAUAGAAAAGAGAGAGAGGGGAGUGGAUUAAAAAAAUUGAAAAGAGACAUGGGAGUUCCCUGAUGGACCUAGCAGGUUAAGGAUCCAGUAUAUCACUGCAGCAGCUCAGGUCAUUGCUGUGGUGCAGGUUUGAUGCCUGGCCCAGGAAUUUCUGCACGCCACAGGCACAGCUAAAAUAAAUAAAAUAAAAUAAAAUAAAAUAAAAUAGACUGAAGGUCAUACAUUGAUAUGUACCCCCUGAUGUAAUUCCCCUGAGAGGGACGCCUUACCCUCUGUGACAUUCUUCCCAAACCCAUAGCCCCAGUUCUGUCAUGAGAAAACAUCAGGCAAAUCCAAACUAAGGGACUUUCUACAAAAUACCUGAUCACAUCAAGACAAACAAGACUAAGAAACUGUCACAAAUCAGAGAAGCCGAAGAGGUCAUGAUGACCAAGUGUACUGUGGUGUCCAGAACUGGAUCCUGGAAGGGGAAAACUGGUGAAAUCCAAAUAAAGCCUACAGGUAGUUAAUAGAAAUGUCCCAAGGUUAAUCUCUUAGGUUUGACAAAUACACCAUCAAUAUGUAAGACGUUACCAUUAGGGGAAAUUGAGUGAAGGAUGCACAGGAACUCUUCAAUGGUUUAUUUUAUUUUAUUUUUUUAUUUUUUGCCUUUUAGGGCUGCACUCAUGGCAUAUGGAGGUUUCCAGACUAGGGGUCCAAUUGGAGCUGCAGCUGCUGGCCUAUGCCACAGCGACAGCACUGCAGGAUCCAAGCGGUGUCUGUGACCUACACCACAGCUCAUGGCAAUGCCAGAUCCUUAACCCACUGAGCAAGGCCAGGGAUCGAACACACAACCUCAUGGUUCCUAGUCAUAUUUGUUUCUGCUGCGCCACGACGGGCAUUCCAAUAGUUUAUUUUAAAAAGAAAGAAAAAAAGACUUCAUAAACUUACCAACCAAUCAAAUUGUGGGACUUUAUUUGAAUCUUGAUCCAAGAAAUUAUUUUUAAAAAUUUGUUUAUGAGACAACUGGAAAUUUAAACACUGGAUAUUUGAUUAUAUGAAAGAAUUAUUAAUUACUUUUAGGUGUGCUAAUGGGAUUAUGCUUAUAGCUUUUUUAAAUCAGUCUUUUUUUUUAAGAGACACAAUCCACACUAUUUGUAGAUGAAAUAAUACAAUGUCUGAAAUUUGCUUCAAAAAUAACACAGGAAGGGGAAGUUGGUGAAGGUGUCAAAAGCAUGAAAAUGGGUGAUGGGUAUAUGGGAGAUUAUUUUAUUUUAACUGUCUUUGAUAUGUUUGAAAUUUUCCAUAAUUAAAAACAAUUAAUUUAAAAGAUUCCAAGGAGGGGGUUUCCUUGUGGCUCAGUGGGUUAAGGACCUGGCAUUGUCACUGCUAUGGCUCAGGUUGCUGCUGUGGCACAGAUUCAAUCCCUGGCCCAGCAAAAAAAAAAAAGAUCCAAAGAAGAAAAACCUCAAUCCCCUACAUUUUGAUCACAUAGCAGUAACUCUGCUGCUAUACUCACCACCUCAGCAACCCCCCAAUUAUAUUCAUGCAGCCUCCCAUUCUUACCAAACCCAGAAACUGGCUUUGGGAUCAAAGUUCUCUCCGAAUCUCCCACUGACGUUUGCCCCUGAAACUUGCUCAGAGGUACCAGAGCAUUAUCACCCAGCUGGGAAAACAGCCCUGGGAACCUGAAUAGAUUUUCCAGCAUCUGGUAGCCGCAGGAGCCACUGGAGCCCAGCAGUGAGGGAAGAGGGUGUUUAUUGUGAGUCCAAAGGCAGCCACAUCCUUCA